AAGAUCAAGUGUAGUAUCUGUUC
rnacentral:piRNA from 4 species